rnacentral:tRNA from 1 species
AGAAAGUUAGUCUAACCAAAGACAGCUGAUUUCGACUCAGCAAAUCAUAGCUAGACCCUAUGACCUUCUU